rnacentral:lncRNA from 1 species
AUCUAAAGUACCUUUGAGGACUGAAAAAUUGCUCAGCAGUGGUAGAACCAGACAGGCAGUCUCCAACUGUUGGCUCUACUUAAAAUAAGAAAACUUCAAAAGCUAUAGUGAUGUGAAGCAGUACAAAAUAUCAACAGAAAAACAAAUGUGGGUGAACAGAGAUCAACAAUUAAAGCUCUUGGGCAUUGACUUUUGCUCAGGAAACAGGGGA